GAUGAACGCUGGCGGCGUGCCUAAUACAUGCAAGUCGAGCGAACAGACGAGGAGCUUGCUCCUCUGACGUUAGCGGCGGACGGGUGAGUAACACGUGGAUAACCUACCUAUAAGACUGGGAUAACUUCGGGAAACCGGAGCUAAUACCGGAUAAUAUAUUGAACCGCAUGGUUCAAUAGUGAAAGACGGUUUUGCUGUCACUUAUAGAUGGAUCCGCGCCGCAUUAGCUAGUUGGUAAGGUAACGGCUUACCAAGGCAACGAUGCGUAGCCGACCUGAGAGGGUGAUCGGCCACACUGGAACUUAGACACGGUCCCGACUCCUACGGGAGGCCGCAGUAGGGAAUCUUCCGCAAUGGGCGAAAGCCUGACGGAGCAACGCCGCGUGAGUGAUGAAGGUCUUCGGAUCGUAAAACUCUGUUAUUAGGGAAGAACAAAUGUGUAAGUAACUAUGCACGUCUUGACGGUACCUAAUCAGAAAGCCACGGCUAACUACGUG
rnacentral:rRNA from 1 species